AUGCACCGAAGCUGCGGCAGCGAUAUGUAAAUAUUGUUGGGUAGGGGAGCGUUCUGUAAGCCUGUGAAGGUGUGCUGUGAGGCAUGCUGGAGGUAUCAGAAGUGCGAAUGCUGACAUAAGUAACGAUAAUGCGGGUGAAAAACCCGCACGCCGGAAGACCAAGGGUUCCUGUCCAACGUUAAUCGGGGCAGGGUGAGUCGACCCCUAAGGCGAGGCAGAAAUGCGUAGUCGAUGGGAAACGGGUUAAUAUUCCCGUACUGGUGAUAAUUGCGAUGGGGGGACGGAGAAGGUUAGGCUGGCCGGGCGACGGUUGUCCCGGUUUAAGGAUGUAGGCAGGUGAAUUAGGCAAAUCCGGUUCACUAUAUGCUGAGGUCUGAUGACGAGUCACUACGGUGGCGAAGUAGCUCAUACCCCGCUUCCAGGAAAAGCCUCUAAGCUCUAGAUUAUCAUUAAUCGUACCCCAAACCGACACAGGUGGUCAGGUAGAGAAUACU
rnacentral:rRNA from 1 species